rnacentral:rRNA from 1 species
CAUUGAGCCUUGAUGUGUAGGAUAGGUGGGAGGCUUUGAAGUGUGGACGCCAGUCUGCAUGGAGCCGACCUUGAAAUACCACCCUUUAAUGUUUGAUGUUCUAACGUUGACCCGUAAUCCGGGUUGCGGACAGUGUCUGGUGGGUAGUUUGACUGGGGCGGUCUCCUCCUAAAGAGUAACGGAGGAGCACGAAGGUUGGCUAAUCCUGGUCGGACAUCAGGAGGUUAGUGCAAUGGCAUAAGCCAGCUUGACUGCGAGCGUGACGGCGCGAGCAGGUGCGAAAGCAGGUCAUAGUGAUCCGGUGGUUCUGAAUGGAAGGGCCAUCGCUCAACGGAUAAAAGGUACUCCGGGGAUAACAGGCUGAUACCGCCCAAGAGUUCAUAUCGACGGCGGUGUUUGGCACCUCGAUGUCGGCUCAUCACAUCCUGGGGCUGAAGUAGGUCCCAAGGGUAUGGCUGUUCGCCAUUUAAAGUGGUACGCGAGCUGGGUUUAGAACGUCGUGAGACAGUUCGGUCCCUAUCUGCCGUGGGCGCUGGAGAACUGAGGGGGGCUGCUCCUAGUACGAGAGGACCGGAGUGGACGCAUCACUGGUGUUCGGGUUGUCAUGCCAAUGGCACUGCCCGGUAGCUAAAUGCGGAAGAGAUAAGUGCUGAAAGCAUCUAAGCACGAAACUUGCCCCGAGAUGAGUUCUCCCUGACUCCUUGAGAGUCCUGAAGGAACGUUGAAGACGACGACGUUGAUAGGCCGGGUGUGUAAGCGCAGCGAUGCGUUGAGCUAACCGGUACUAAUGAACCGUGAGG